CCUACGGGGGGCAGCAGUGAGGAAUAUUGGUCAAUGGGCGCGAGCCUGAACCAGCCAAGUCGCGUGAGGGAGGACGGCCCUACGGGUUGUAAACCUCUUUUGCCGGGGAGCAACGGGCGUCACGUGUGGCGCCACUGCGAGUACCCGGAGAAAAAGCAUCGGCUAACUCCGUGCCAGCAGCCGCGGUAAGACGGGGGAUGCGAGCGUUAUCCGGAUUUAAUGGGUUUAAAGGGUGCGUAGGCGGAUCGUUAAGUCAGUGGUCAAAUUGAGGGGCUCAACCCCUGCCCGCCAUUGAAACUGGCGAUCUUGAGUGGAAGAGAGGUAUGCGGAAUGCGUGGUGUAGCGGUGAAAUGCGUAGAUAUCACGAAGAACCCCGAUUGCGAAGGCAGCAUGCCGGCUUCCGACUGACGCUGAGGCACGAAAGCGUGGGGAUCGAACAGGAUUAGAUACCCGAGUAGUC
rnacentral:rRNA from 1 species